rnacentral:rRNA from 1 species
UACGUAGGAGGCAAGCGUUGUCCGGAAUCAUUGGGCGUAAAGAGCGUGUAGGCGGUCCGGUCAGUCGGUUGUGAAAGUCAAGGGCUCAACCCUUGAAUGCCGGCCGAUACUGCCGGGCUAGAGUCCGGAAGAGGUGAGUGGAAUUCCUGGUGUAGCGGUGAAAUGCGCAGAUAUCAGGAGGAACACCGAUGGCGAAGGCAGCUCACUGGGACGGUACUGACGCUGAGACGCGAAAGCGUGGGGAGCAAACAGG